UGGGGAAUAUUGCACAAUGGGGAAAGACCCUGAUGCAGCAACGCCGCGUGAAGGAAGACGGUUUUCGGAUUGUAAACUUCUGUUCUUAGUGAAGAAUAAUGACGGUAGCUAAGGAGCAAGCCACGGCUAACUACGUGCCAGCAGCCGCGGUAAUACGUAGGUGGCAAGCGUUGUCCGGAAUUACUGGGUGUAAAGGGAGCGCAGGCGGGAGACCAAGUCAGCUGUGAAAACUACGGGCUUAACCUGUAGACUGCAGUUGAAAACUGGUUUUUCCUUGAGUGAAGUAGAGGUUGGCGGAAUUCCGAGUGUAGCGGUGAAAUGCGUAGAUAUUCGGAGGAACACCGGUGGCGAAGGCGGCCAACUGGGCUUUAACUGACGCUGAGGCUCGAAAGUGUGGGGAGCAAACAGGAUUAGAUACC
rnacentral:rRNA from 1 species